ACUUCACGGGGUGGUUCCUAAUAUCCCUUCAAGCUCAAAAAUGUUAUGACUUUUGAUGCUUAUAGGAUUAGGGCUUUUGGCCCCUUGGGAAGGGAUGGGAGAAGAUACUUUUUGCUUUUAGAAACAGGUAUUAAAACUGCUUCCUGUUGCUCUGUUAACCAAAGCAGACAAUUUCUCAUUAGUUACUUCACAGGGAGAACCGACAGUGUUUGCUGAAGUGUCAAAACCUCACAACAUGUUUACCGGUGGACUUACAGAAUGGUAGAGCUGCGAGGGACCUUCUCGAUCACUUCAUCACCUGUUCAGUCUACUCAUUUCACAGAGAGAACAUGAUGGUUCAGAAGAUGACAGAAGUCAGUACCUACAAGAUCAGCAUCUCUCCUGAGUCUGGAAAUGGAAGAGUGAAAAUCCUCUGGUCACAAUGGUAAUAAACAAAUGGAAUGGAUCCCUUAUGCAAUAAGCAAAAUGGCAUGGACUUGGACAUGUGAAACAUGUGUUUUUAAACCCAUGAAGAUACCAAAGCAACUUUUAUCUUAUUAAGUAGGGCUUUAUCUCAAGGAUAGGUUUAGGGCAACUAUGUGAACUAAGUACCUUCUCUCACAUUUUAGUUCUCUUAGACCAACAUGCAUUGACCAUAACUGGAUUGAAAUUAAGUCACUUUACAUUUUUUUUCUUGCCCAUUUCUCCCCAUGUUCCUCCCCACCCAUAUCAGCUGCAGCCAUUUCUACAGUCAAAACACUCCCCAAAUUAAAUUAUACUCAUGGCAUAGAAUAACAAUCCAAGCUUCCUUUUGUACGCCAGCCAGAACCUCUUCACAUAAGUACAGCUCAAAAGAGGUAUGAGCAAUGUUUUAAGAUAAUGUCUUGGAAUCACAAUUGGUCCACUGUGCCUAAACCCCACAUGGAAGUCACUACACGCCCCCUGACAUUUCUCACCAAGGAGAGGGAAGAUGGUAAAGAGGAGAGGGUCUCUCUGAAAUGAAAUUCACCAACUUUAGUCUGACACAGUUUAUUCUUAAAGUGACUAAAAGAAUACAAUAACUUCUCAGUCAAACAACAUACAAUAAAUAAGUAUAAAUACCAAGCUAGGAGGACAGGAAUAAAGACACAGACGUAGAGAAUGGACUUGAGGACAUGGGGAGGGGGAAGGGUAAGCUGGGACGAAGUGAGAGAGUGGCAUGGACUUAUAAAUACUACCGAAUGUAAAAUAGAUAGCUAGUGGGAAGCAACCGCAUAGCACA